rnacentral:rRNA from 1 species
CACGUAGGGGACGAGCGUUGUCCGGAUUCAUUGGGCGUAAAGCGCGCGUAGGCGGCUCGGAAAGUCGGUCGUGAAAUGCCGGGGCUCAACCCCGGGACUGCGUCCGAUACUCCCGAGCUGGAGGCAGGUAGGGGAGAUCGGAAUUCCUGGUGUAGCGGUGAAAUGCGCAGAUAUCAGGAGGAACACCGGUGGCGAAGGCAGGUCUCUGGGCCGCAACUGACGCUGAGGAGCGAAAGCAUGGGGAGCGAACAGG